rnacentral:rRNA from 1 species
AAUCUCAAGAAGUGUUUUCCGCUUCGGACCAUGCCUAAGUCCCUUGGAAAAGGGCAUCAUAGAGGGUGAUAAUCCCGUACAUGGCAUGGAGCGCCCGAGGCUUUGUGAUACGCUUUCUAAGAGUCGAGUUGUUUGGGAAUGCAGCUCAAAAUGGGUGGUAAUUGCCAUCUAAGGCUAAAUAUUGGGGAGAGACCGAUAGCGAACAAGUACAGUGAUGGAAAGAUGAAAAGAACUUUGAAAAGAGAGUUAAACAGUACGUGAAAUUGCCAAAAGGGAAGGGUAGGAGGUCAGAGAUGCGUCUUGGGAUUCAGCCUUGCUUUUGCUUGGUGAUUUUCCCAAGUUGCAGGCCAACGUCGGUUUUGGGCACUGGAGAAGGGUGGAAGGAACGUGGCACCUCUCGGGGUGUGUUAUAGCCUUCUACUGGAUACAGCGACCGAGACCGAGGACAGCAGCGUACUCGCAAGAGCGGGCCUUCGGGCACCUUUACGCUUAGGGCGUUGGCAUAAUGGC